CUAAGGAGACUGCCGGUGACAAACCGGAGGAAGGUGGGGAUGACGUCAAAUCAUCAUGCCCCUUAUGACCUGGGCUACACACGUGCUACAAUGGAUAGAACAAAGGGCAGCGAAGCCGCGAGGUGAAGCCAAUCCCAUAAAUCUAUUCUCAGUUCGGAUUGCAGGCUGCAACUCGCCUGCAUGAAGCCGGAAUCACUAGUAAUCGCGGAUCAGCAUGCCGCGGUGAAUACGUUCCCGGGCCUUGUACACACCGCCCGUCACACCACGAGAGUUUGUAACACCCGAAGUCGGUGGGGUAACCUUUUGGAGCCAGCCGCCUAAGGUGGGACAGAUGAUUGGGGUGAAGUCGUAACAAGGUAGCCGUAUCGGAAGGUGCGGCUGGAUCACCUCCUUUCUAAGGA
rnacentral:rRNA from 2 species